rnacentral:pre_miRNA from 1 species
CAAGUACUCCCUCCGUCCGAAAUUACUUGUCAUCAAAAUGGAUGUGUCUAGAACUAAAAUACAUCUAGAUACAUCCAUUUCAAUGAAAAGUAUUUUCAGACGGAGGGAGUACAAG